CCCCAAAACCUCACAUGACAGGGACCGUUAACAACCAGUUAUACUGCUCAUGAGCCAUGCAGGCAGCCCUACAAGCUAACCAUGACUCCUGGUUCUGUUCCAAUUACCCAGGUACAAUCAGAAGGCAGGUUUCAAUCAGCUGGUCAGAGAAAGGGUCAUUGUGAACAGACCACCCAAAGGUAGGAAAGAGCCCAGGCAGACAAGCUUUGGCGAAGAGCACUCGCGCUUUGGACCUAAGUGUCAAGGUCUGCGCCGAGUGCACAGCCCUCACCUUUGGGUGGCUGACCUACACACUGUCAGGUGAGAGCUUUCAUUUUUAAGGCCCCCCAGAUGAUCCUAAUAUGUAGUCAGAUUGAGACCCACUGUUCUAACAGGCCCAAAACAAAAAGAAAAAGGGUGGCUGACUCUUCCCAAAAGUGCUGGUUA
rnacentral:lncRNA from 1 species